rnacentral:tRNA from 1 species
UUCCUGGUGGUCCAGUGGUUAAGACUCUGUGUUUACAAUGCAGGGACACAGGUUUGAUCUCCGGUCAAGGAAC